GCUGUUAUUGGAUAUCAUGCUCCAGUUCGGGACGCCAUUGGUCUGGAGCUUGUCAGUCUGUGGCGCGCCGACGCUCGCGAAGCCGCUGCGCAGACAGUGCACGACACGCGAGUGGCCAGAGAGUGUCUGGAGUCUGUCUGAAACUGAUAAAAAUGGUGAUGAUGGAGUUCAUCCAGAGUCUCGCUCAUACUCAUUAGAAAAACAAAGGGAGGCAGAGCGGAAUUAUACAAUCAUCCAACACUCUGUAGUCUGAUCGUAGCUCGAAAACUAGAUUCUAUUGUAGCGCAUUUCAAAGUUUUAUUCCAUGUUUUUCACCAGACAGACAGUUCAUUAAUGCACAGGCAGGAGGAUAACAUUUCUGAAGUCUUCCGAUGACCUCUUGGAGCUGUCACAGAUGCAGCUACACUUAAAGGUGAUACCUGUGUUCUGCGGUUGUGCUGCCGUGCUGACGGAUAGUGAAGAGGAGCAGAGCUGAUGUGUCUGCAGAAAUGAUACAGUUCAGUCAGAAGCCAAAGAAAUGUCAGGGGUGAGUUCAAUAAGUCUGGGUAAUUGCGAUUCUGUCUUCUCGUCCGUUCGACUGAAUCAUCUUCCAUUAGAGGAGCGGUGGGGGGGGCCUUACCCAGGGCCAAAGAGCAAUCUAAAUCCUCAACGCCUGUUAAAGCCUCUGCAAGUCAUCUCCAUACAAACACAUGGAAAAUCCACCAGCACGCACAAACAUUUAUUUUGUUGUUCUUUAUCUUUCGCUUGUACCUUUCUUUUGCCCUACAGAACGGCUGAUGUAAACUUUUACUGAAAAGAACUUGCAGAUUUUUUUAGGGACAGACUUCCAGAGAAACCUGAGGUUAAGUGUCAUGCUCAAGGGCAAAAUAUAAUAUGGUAGAAACAUUUAUUUUUAAUGUAUCGACCAAGGUUCAAAUCUCAGCCCACAUAACACUUUCACCGCCAGAAAUUCAGUGUUGUUGAGUGCAAUUCUGAUGCAACUUCACACAUUCUUUAUGCUUUUAUGUCUUUAUUCAACAAAUGUUGUUGAUUUUGUGUUCAGUAACCACCAGAAAUGCUGAAAUGUACUUUAAACAUUGCUAAAAAGCUGUCUUAUUUUGAGAUUUCCCACAUUUUCACUUUUCACCUUUGAAACAUCUGGCUUUUGUAUUAGAUGUGAAGGGACAUCUCUUAGUUAUACACAAUGCCAUGCUUGUCACUGUUGAAGUUUGACUAGGAACAGGCAGUUCAUGCUACCAGGAGGGGUCCCUGUUUAAUGUAACGUGGUAUUGUUGAAAAAUGUACAAUACUGCCAUCUGCUGGUGUGAAUUGGAACCAAAUUUAAGAAAGUGUUCCUUGAAGCGUCAAAAUUACCCAGUAUAGCUACAAUAAAUUUCAAGUACGUGCAAGACACAACGCAAUUCUAUUUCUUCACUUUAUUGGCCAGCUUAUUUUACUGUUGGUAUAUGAAUUUGACUCAAGUAUCCAGUCACACAUUCUGCUCCUCACUCCAAACACACAAGAGGAGUAUAUAUAUAUAUAUAUAUAUAUAUAUAUAUAAUUUCAAAAAUUAAAAAAAAUGUAAAUCUAAUUUAAAAAAAAAAAAAGAUAGCAGUGGCUUAUAUCAGUUAACUUUAACCAAAUGCCUUGUGCUACAAAACUCUGAAAGAUGCUGACACUGUUAUCUCAAGUUCAGGCCCCUUUUGCCAAGAAGUGGCAUUACAUUCUUUGGCACACCAGGACACAUUCUUUAAACAUUAAUUUUACAUGCAGUUGGACAGCUCAUGUUUGCUCUUGACUUUGAAGGCAAGAUGAUGUAGUA